UACGGAGGAUCCGAGCGUUAUCCGGAUUUAUUGGGUUUAAAGGGUGCGUAGGCGGCCUUGUAAGUCAGCGGUGAAAUUUUGCAGCUUAACUGUAAAAGUGCCGUUGAUACUGUGAGGCUAGGAUUUGGUUGCUGUGGGUGGAAUGUGCGGUGUAGCGGUGAAAUGCUUAGAGAUCACACAGAAUAUCAAUUGCGAAGGCAGCUCACAAAGCCAAGAUUGACGUUGAGGCACGAAAGUGUGGGGAUCAAACAGGAUUAGA
rnacentral:rRNA from 1 species